GAUCCACUCGUUUCCCUGGGGCCACUCCUGAUCCACUCCUGGAUCCACCUGGGUCCGUUCCACCAAAGUCCACACUCACACAGGUCCACGUUCACACACACAGGUCCACACUCACACACACAGGUUGUUCACACACACAGGUCCACACUCACACACACAGGUUGUUGUUCACACACACAAGAUCCACACUCACACACACAGGUUGUUGUUCACACACACAGGUCCGGCAUCUCGCUGAAUUUAAUUAAGGAUCAGCCUGAAAUGAAAUGGCUCCAGCAGGGAAGCGGAUGCCUCUGAGACAUUCUGAGGACAGGAGGCAAGAGACCUUGGUGUUAUUUGGUACUGUUGGUCCUGAUAGUCAGGAUCAAGCAGAAGAAUAUGAAUGAAUGAAGCCUGAGGAAAAAUUAGUCUAGCAAGGGGAGCCCGAUUUCUGUGCUGAAACAUAUGGCCACCUACAACCAGCAAAGAUACUGGACUUCUUUUUACAUACAGCGGUGCCCAGACCAAGCGUCAGGCCUCAACAUGAAAGGAAAGGACCUAAAGUCUGGCUGGUGUCUGAGGUGGUGGCUGUGGAAAGUUCCAGAGUGGUACCAAGGAAAUCUGGUUCAGCUGCAUCUGCGUGAGGAAGAGUAAGUCCAUGCUUCUGCCCACAGGGGUCUUCCGGGCUACUGGUGAGCUGUCACCUCCCCUUACAGGAGAGUUUGACGGGUGCUGGUGCAGCAGCCGAUUUUGGAGCCAGAGGAGGUGAAGACACCCGGGAGAUCAGAGCAGGGCUGGGGAGUGAGGAGGGCAGCGCCGGGUGCUUUUGAAUGAUGAAUUCCUGCCCUUAGAGACCAAGAAGGUAGUGUCAUUUCCCCCGGGGGAUCCCGUCCCCCCAACACCUGCUUUGUCAUUAAAGGACCAUCCCCCUCUGCAGAAGAAGAACUUAAAGGGCAGGCAUGUAAGACGUAUUAAAUGACAAAAUGUCACCCGGUAAACAAAGGCAAGGGGGCACACUGGGUUCAUUGAGCCGGGGGGGGGGGGGGGGGGGAUUUGGGUCAACUUCACAGCGAGGGGCAUCCCUGGUGACCAGCAAGAGGCGGAGCUGGGCAAGGGU
rnacentral:lncRNA from 1 species